GUGCUGUGGUCGAACUUCGUAACCAGCGGCGUGUUUAGUAUGUGAACUAUUUAGAAAGUAAAAUACAAAAACCAGCGUUAAUUUGUUUAUGAGAAACUUUUAGCAUGCAAUGGAAGCGUUGGGGAUCGUCCUACUGGUCUUGCUCUCACUGCUUACAUUGGCCUAUCUUUGCCUGGCUGAUGUGGAGAUGCAUGCAGCUAUCGUCGCUAUG